UAGCAGCAGCACAUUGGGUCAGUGGUGUUCCAAAUAUAUUCUUGCCUAGUACAGAAGAAGAUAGUGUCAUCAUGGACUUACCUUUCUUUGGAGACUGCUUUAACUGUUUCCCACCUAUGAACCCAUAGUGACUUGGAUUAGCAGUGGAUCUGAGAGCUACAGAAGCUGCUACACAGAAAGACUGUGAACACUCCCAGCACAGAUGGGAACUGAGAAACCUUUUCUACCUCACUGAGGAUUGGUAGCUAGACAAGGGAUACAGAAUGCAAAACACUUCAGCAGAGAGUGGUUGAGACAUCUGGUCACCAGUCCUCAGCGCUGGUCCAUGGAUAAAUUGGAGUAGCAUCGGAUAUCCAGAAGAGGGCACUUGUGGCUCUCCAGUCUGUCUGCUCAACCCAAAACCCUGUCUGCACUACAAACUUCUUGUGACUGGGGGGGAAAAGGCUGGAGGGACUCUUAUCUUAAAUGAGCUGAAAUACUAAUAAGCAAUUAUGGGUUAUGCGUAGCAUCAGUUGGAAGAUUUGCUUGCAGGUUUCUGCUAUCAAUGGGCAUAUUUAUCACACCAGCUGCUAUCAAAAAAGAACACCACCAUUCAAGUGCUUUCAGAACUGCAGCUGAUGGCUGCAGAAAGCCACCCUUGCACCAAAAUGACUAAAAGCGUUUUCUGCUUAAAGUUUAGUCCAACCUAUUAGGUUAAUAAGUAUUUAGACAGUGUCUCUGGGCGC